GGGGAUUUGGCUCAGUGGUAGAGCGCUUGCCUAGCAUGUGCAAGGCCCUGGGUUCGGUCCCCAGCCCCG
rnacentral:tRNA from 1 species